AAUAUUAGAGGUGAUACUAGUAUGAUGAGUGAAAAUGGUGACAUGUUGCUAUCUAGGUGGGAAAAACACUUGGCAGAUGAGGGAAAUAUUGAAAAAAAGUCUGAUCUUGAGAUGUACUUGAUGGAUGAUGUGGUGCAGACAAAGAAUUUUAAUAUUUUUAGUUGGUGGAGAUGGAUGAUGUGGUGCAGACAAAGGAUUUUAAUAUUUUGAGUUGGUGGAAAGCUCCAUCUAUUAAAUAUCCAGUUGUUUCAAAAAUUGCAGGGGAUGUUCUUUCUAUUCCUAUUUCAACUGUUGCGUCUGAGUCGGCUUUUAGUACAGGUGGUCGAAUUCUUGAUUCAUAUCGGAGUUCUUUAUCACCAAAAACAGUAGAAGCCCUUAUUUGCACUCAACAAUGGAUACGAUCACCUACCAAAGAAUACAAGUUUCAAGACAAUUUGGAAGACAUCCAGAAAGUUGAAGAAGGUAAUUUAUAU
rnacentral:lncRNA from 1 species